UACGAAGGGGGCUAGCGUUGCUCGGAUUGACUGGGCGUAAAGGGCGCGUAGGCGGUUCGUACAGUCAGACGUGAAAUUCCUGGGCUCAACCUGGGGGCUGCGUUUGAUACGUGCGGACUUGAGUGCGGAAGAGGGUCGUGGAAUUCCCAGUGUAGAGGUGAAAUUCGUAGAUAUUGGGAAGAACACCGGUGGCGAAGGCGGCGACCUGGUCCGAUACAGACGCUGAGGCGCGAAAGCGUGGGGAGCAAACAGG
rnacentral:rRNA from 1 species